rnacentral:lncRNA from 1 species
AAGGGAUGGAGCCAGGAUCCACCUCUUUCCCAGACCUCAUUUAAGGGCUGGCAGUGGAAGUAAGAGCAUUUUGCUAGAGAUUCCUGUGUACCUGGGACCUUCUGAAGGAGCUGUGGAAGUCAGCCAUGCUCAGCCAGGACUUCACCCCCCAAGGAGCAGAUGAACCGUGCCAAAGGCUGAAUGCCUGGAAAUCCCCAGCAUGAAAGUCUUACGAUGAGCCCCAUAUGCAAUCUACCGCUGCCUUAGUAGAGGUAAGAAUUGAGGUUCCAAGUUGUCCCUUGCCUUAACUGGACCUGCUGGUAGAAGUGUACCAGAGAAAACUUCCUUACACUUUGUGGCACUUGAUAGUGCUGUUCAACACACGUGCAGAGUGGCGGCCCUGAGCACACCUCGUUGCAAGCUGCUUUGGGUUUAUGGUCCCUCUGUGGUCUUUGGGUAGCAUACUGGUCCUAGCUGGAGGAGUUUACAGCCAUGUUCUGGAAGACACAUUCUUUGUACUUACCUGUUAGAUUUUCAUAGAAGCUAUGUGUAUUUCCUAACAAGAUACAAAUGAUGGACUUGGUAUUCUUAGUGAUCUAUCCCUCUGCCUUCAAUCCAUUCUCCUGCAUAUCUUUUUGCUUUCCUUUCAUUGCAAUCAUGUUAACUGUGUACUGUAGCCAUUGCUGUCCGUGAUGUAUUUGUUUCAAAGCAUUUUACUUGUUAAGAGAGAGUUGGAUAACAAGUAAUAAAAAAAAUCCAAGCAUGUGACCAUUUGAUUGGUAAGUUUUGAGUGCAGUCCUACCAUCAUAAUGAAAGAGCAGAUCCCACAGAAUAAUACAAUGGAAGAAUAAUCUUUGCCACAGGGGAACUCUUGCAAGCAAAAUCAAUCUUGAUAGCUGUUUCUGUGGUUUAGAUGAAAUUAAUAGGCCGAGGGUGGGAAUGUAAUCCCAUGUUAACAACAUUUUUCAUGGCACCAUGAGCUGUGUAUCAUGCUCUCCUCAUGCAGUUGUGACCAUUUUUCAUAUAUCAAUACAUUAUGAUUCACCGUGAUGUACACAGAAACCAAAAGUCCAGAUGACGUUUUAGGGCUGUAACUGAAAGUUGGGGUUAUUUCUGUAGUUUAGCGUCUUGUUUUGUGAUUGUUGUUAGUUUUUUAUUUAUUCUUUUACGAAGAUGAUUCUAUUUUCUGUCUCUAUGAGAGGUUUACUUCUACAUUUAAGUAAUUUGCUAUUCUGCAGGGCCCACUUUAAGGAUUACAGGAAAAUUUAGCUUGGGCUUUUAAUACAAUGAAAU